rnacentral:rRNA from 1 species
GUCAGAUGUGAAAGCCCCGGGCUCAACCUGGGAAUUGCAUUUGAAACUGGGGAACUAGAGUGUGUGAGAGGGGGGUAGAAUUCCAAGUGUAGCGGUGAAAUGCGUAGAGAUCUGGAGGAAUACCAGUGGCGAAGGCGGCCCCCUGGCACAACACUGACGCUCAGGUGCGAUAGCGUGCGGAGCAAACAGGAUUAGAUACCCUGGUAGUCCACGCCGUAAACGAUGUCUACUAGCUGUUCGUGACCUUGUGUUGUGAGUAGCGCAGCUAACGCACUAAGUAGACCGCCUGGGGAGUACGGUCGCAAGAUUAAAACUCAAAUGAAUUGACGGGGGCCCGCACAAGCGGUGGAGCAUGUGGUUUAAUUCGACGCAACGCGAAGAACCUUACCUACUCUUGACAUCUACAGAAGACUGCAGAGAUGCGGUUGUGCCUUCGGGAACUGUAAGACAGGUGCUGCAUGGCUGUCGUCAGCUCGUGUUGUGAAAUGUUGGGUUAAGUCCCGCAACGAGCGCAACCCCUAUCCUUAGUUGCCAGCGAUUCGGUCGGGAACUCUAGGGAGACUGCCGGUGAUAAACCGGAGGAAGGUGGGGACGACGUCAAGUCAUCAUGGCCCUUACGAGUAGGGCUACACACGUGCUACAAUGGUACGUACAGAGGGAGGCAAGCUGGCGACAGUGAGCGGAUCUCUUAAAGCGUAUCGUAGUCCGGAUCGCAGUCUGCAACUCGACUGCGUGAAGUCGGAAUCGCUAGUAAUCG